CGGUUUGUAGUUUAAUCGGUAAAACGUAGUUCUCAUGAAGCUAAUGUUGUAGGUUCAAGUCCUACCGAACCG
rnacentral:tRNA from 1 species